GAUGAACGCUGGCGGCGUGCCUAAUACAUGCAAGUCGAGCGAACGGACGAGAAGCUUGCUUCUCUGAUGUUAGCGGCGGACGGGUGAGUAACACGUGGAUAACCUACCUAUAAGACUGGGAUAACUUCGGGAAACCGGAGCUAAUACCGGAUAAUAUUUUGAACCGCAUGGUUCAAAAGUGAAAGACGGUCUUGCUGUCACUUAUAGAUGGAUCCGCGCUGCAUUAGCUAGUUGGUAAGGUAACGGCUUACCAAGGCAACGAUGCAUAGCCGACCUGAGAGGGUGAUCGGCCACACUGGAACUGAGACACGGUCCAGACUCCUACGGGAGGCAGCAGUAGGGAAUCUUCCGCAAUGGGCGAAAGCCUGACGGAGCAACGCCGCGUGAGUGAUGAAGGUCUUCGGAUCGUAAAACUCUGUUAUUAGGGAAGAACAUAUGUGUAAGUAACUGUGCACAUCUUGACGGUACCUAAUCAGAAAGCCACGGCUAACUACGUGCCAGCAGCCGCGGUAAUACGUAGGUGGCAAGCGUUAUCCGGAAUUAUUGGGCGUAAAGCGCGCGUAGGCGGUUUUUUAAGUCUGAUGUGAAAGCCCACGGCUCAACCGUGGAGGGUCAUUGGAAACUGGAAAACUUGAGUGCAGAAGAGGAAAGUGGAAUUCCAUGUGUAGCGGUGAAAUGCGCAGAGAUAUGGAGGAACACCAGUGGCGAAGGCGACUUUCUGGUCUGUAACUGACGCUGAUGUGCGAAAGCGUGGGGAUCAAACAGGAUUAGAUACCCUGGUAGUCCACGCCGUAAACGAUGAGUGCUAAGUGUUAGGGGGUUUCCGCCCCUUAGUGCUGCAGCUAACGCAUUAAGCACUCCGCCUGGGGAGUACGACCGCAAGGUUGAAACUCAAAGGAAUUGACGGGGACCCGCACAAGCGGUGGAGCAUGUGGUUUAAUUCGAAGCAACGCGAAGAACCUUACCAAAUCUUGACAUCCUUUGACAACUCUAGAGAUAGAGCCUACCCCUUCGGGGGGGCAAAGUGACAGGUGGUGCAUGGUUGUCGUCGGCUCGUGUCGUGAGAUGUUGGGUUAAGUCCCGCAACGAGCGCAACCCUUAAGCUUAGUUGCCAUCAUUAAGUUGGGCACUCUAAGUUGACUGCCGGUGACAAACCGGAGGAAGGUGGGGAUGACGUCAAAUCAUCAUGCCCCUUAUGAUUUGGGCUACACACGUGCUACAAUGGACAAUACAAAGGGCAGCGAAACCGCGAGGUCAAGCAAAUCCCAUAAAGUUGUUCUCAGUUCGGAUUGUAGUCUGCAACUCGACUACAUGAAGCUGGAAUCGCUAGUAAUCGUAGAUCAGCAUGCUACGGUGAAUACGUUCCCGGGUCU
rnacentral:rRNA from 1 species